rnacentral:rRNA from 1 species
AGCCAGACUCCUACGGGAGGCAGCAGUGGGGAAUAUUGCACAAUGGGGGAAACCCUGAUGCAGCGACGCCGCGUGGGUGAAGAAGUAUUUCGGUAUGUAAAGCUCUAUCAGCAGGGAAGAAAAUGACGGUACCUGACUAAGAAGCCCCGGCUAACUACGUGCCAGCAGCCGCGGUAAUACGUAGGGGGCAAGCGUUAUCCGGAUUUACUGGGUGUAAAGGGAGCGUAGACGGCAUGGCAAGUCAGAUGUGAAAGCCCGGGGCUCAACCCCGGGACUGCAUUUGAAACUGUCAGGCUGGAGUGCAGGAGAGGUAAGUGGAAUUCCUAGUGUAGCGGUGAAAUGCGUAGAUAUUAGGAGGAACACCAGUGGCGAAGGCGGCUUACUGGACUGUAACUGACGUUGAGGCUCGAAAGCGUGGGGAGCAAACAGGAUUAGAUACCCUCGUACA